rnacentral:rRNA from 1 species
UACGUAGGGUGCAAGCGUUGUCCGGAAUUAUUGGGCGUAAAGAGCUCGUAGGCGGUCUGUCGCGUCUGCUGUGAAAACUCAGGGCUUAACCCUGAGCUUGCAGUGGGGUACGGGGCAGACUAGAGUGCGGUAGGGGGAGACUGGAAUUCCUGGUGUAGCGGUGAAAUGCGCAGAUAUCAGGAGGAACACCGGUGGGCGAAGGCGGU